rnacentral:lncRNA from 1 species
UUUAUUGCACUUAAAUAAACCAGGGAAUUGUGUUUAAUUGUCUGUUAUUUACCUGUUUUCCAAAUUCUGCUUAAUUUGGUCGGAAAUUCGUAAUUGUGCUAAUUUGGGUUUUCUAAGCUGAUUAAGUGUAUUUUGGUUCUAGGGAAAUUUUGGGAAACAUCAUUUGGAGCAUUAGGGAUGGUGGCGUGAUCAUUCAAGACUCAACAUUUAGUCACUUCCAUUUUAAUUAAGUUGUAAUUUCGUUUUCUAGAAGCCCUUAAUUAGAAUUAGGUGUUUUGGACCCCUUUAGGGGCAUUUUUGUAAAAACCAAUUGUGGGGGCCAUGUGGCAUCCCUUUAGGGCUGACUUGUAGUGUGUGGACCCCACCAAAAUUAAAACUCAUGGUCAUGUAUGAAGACUCUCUCUUGGAGCUUGCCAUGGGGUUUUCGGUUUUGGCUAUUUGAAUGAACAAAGUUGCAGAUUUUAUUCUUCUCUUGCUUUAAUCUUGGCUGUCUUAACUCAUUGGUGGUGAAAAUCCUUUCAUUCCUUCUUCCAUUUGCUUGUUUUUNAUGUUUGAAGCUUGAGCUUUUAAGCUUUUCUUUGCAUUUCAAUGGUGAUUGUUGGGUUUGAGUGACUUUAUAUUUUCGUUUUUCCUCUUCUUUACUGUUGUUCCUCACAUUUUUCUUUGCAUUUUGGUUGGUUGGUUGAUGAAAAUGAGGUUCUAUGUGAGUUUUGGGUUAAAGAGAGCUUAAGGUGUUGUGUGGGUGUUGUGGGUUUGGCUCUUCCAUAUUUCGGUUUUGAUGUUUGAAANUAGUUUGGAACCAGAUUUUGAUGAUGUUAUUGGGGCUGGACAUUGCUUGAUUUGAAUGGCUAAGAUAUUAUUUUCGUUUUUGCAAAGAAACUUGAAGAAAUGAUAGUGUUAAAGUUGGGUUGAUGAGUAGAAGUUUGGGGUUUAUUGUUCUUGUGUUCAUUUGCAACUUAAACUUUGGUUUCUUGGGGUUCAUUCUNGNUANUGUGAAGAGAAGAAAGCUUUGGAUGGUGGUUGAGAAGAAAGAAAACCGAAAUUGAGGUUGGAAGUGAGAGAAAAGGGUG